rnacentral:rRNA from 1 species
AUUGAACGCUGGCGGAAUGCUUUACACAUGCAAGUCGAACGGCAGCACGGGGCAACCUGGUGGCGAGUGGCGAACGGGUGAGUAAUACAUCGGAACGUGCCCAAUCGUGGGGGGAUAACGUAGCGAAAGUUACGCUAAUACCGCAUACGAUCUACGGAUGAAAGCGGGGGAUCGCAAGACCUCGCGCGAAUGGAGCGGCCGAUGUCAGAUUAGGUAGUUGGUGGGGUAAAGGCUCACCAAGCCGACGAUCUGUAGCUGGUCUGAGAGGACGACCAGCCACACUGGGACUGAGACACGGCCCAGACUCCUACGGGAGGCAGCAGUGGGGAAUUUUGGACAAUGGGCGCAAGCCUGAUCCAGCCAUUCCCGCGUGCAGGAU